rnacentral:rRNA from 1 species
CGCCCCACUGCACGAGCUGAUCAGCAUGCCGCGUGCAGGAUGAAGGCCUUCGGGUUGUAAACUGCUUUUGUACGGAACGAAAAAGCUUCUCCUAAUACGAGAGGCCCAUGACGGUACCGUAAGAAUAAGCACCGGCUAACUACGUGCCAGCAGCCGCGGUAAUUA